rnacentral:lncRNA from 1 species
AAUAUUUCUUUUCUUAGACCCAAUAUUGAAACAAGAGAAAAUCCACUAUCAUCGCGAAUUAGUUCAAUAGUCUUUGACCAAUCUGGCCCUACCAUGACAAGAGCCGACACAAGUAGCUCUUUCAGAUAAUUGAAUGCUUAUAGAUAUGCUUAAUCAAUGUUAAACUUUAGUUCCUUUUCAAGAAUUUUACACUUCAGAUGGGUGAUCUAUGAGAAGUAUUUAAUGAAUCGUCUAUAGAAUCUGCUAUAGACAAGGAAUAUCCUUACCCUCCUUAUAGAGAUAGAUGGAUGUACAUGGAAAUUACCUCAACUUUAGUGUGAUCAACUUGAGUUUUGUCUCCCGAGAUCUUGUGCCAACCACAAUUCCCUCUUUUACCAUCAUAUGGCAUUUUUUCUAAUUCAAGACAUGAUUGGUUUCCACACCCCUUCAAGAACAUUGCUUAAGUGAGCAAGGCAAGACUCAAAUGACUCCCCUAGUAUGAAAAAUUCGUACAUUAACUACUCCAUCAAAUCUUCCACCUUAUUAAAAAACAUAGAUCACAUUCAUCUUUGGAAAAUUGAUAGAGCAUUACACAACCCAGAUGGCAUACGCUUGAAGGAGAAAAUAUGAUAGAGACAACUG